CCAACGGGUGGCUGCAGUGGGGAAUAUUGGACAAUGGGCGAAAGCCUGAUCCAGCCAUGCCGCGUGUGUGAAGAAGGCCUUCGGGUUGUAAAGCACUUUCAGUGGGGAAGAAAGCCUUGGGGCUAAUACCCUCGAGGAAGGACAUCACCCACAGAAGAAGCACCGGCUAACUCCGUGCCAGCAGCCGCGGUAAUACGGAGGGUGCGAGCGUUAAUCGGAAUUACUGGGCGUAAAGCGCGCGUAGGCGGUCUGAUAAGCCGGUUGUGAAAGCCCCGGGCUCAACCUGGGAACGGCAUCCGGAACUGUCAGGCUAGAGUGCAGGAGAGGAAGGUAGAAUUCCCGGUGUAGCGGUGAAAUGCGUAGAGAUCGGGAGGAAUACCAGUGGCGAAGGCGGCCUUCUGGACUGACACUGACGCUGAGGUGCGAAAGCGUGGGUAGCAAACAGGAUUAGAUACCCUAGUAGUC
rnacentral:rRNA from 1 species